rnacentral:rRNA from 1 species
AGAGUUUGAUCAUGGCUCAGAACGAACGUUGGCGGCGUGGAUUAGGCAUGCAAGUCGCGGGAAUCCCAGCAAUGGGGGAACCGGCGUAAGGGGCAGUUAGGCGUGGGUACUCACCCGGAGGUCCGGGAUAGCCCGUCGAGAGACGGGGUAAUAUCGGAUGACGUGGAGACACCAAAGGUCCGCCGCCUUCGGCGAGGCCCACGUGAUAUUGGCUUGUUGGCGGGGGUGACGGCCCACCAAGGCGGAAGAUGUCUAGCGGGUGUGAGAGCACGACCCGCGCCACUCGCACUGAGACACUGGCGAGACACCUACGGGUGGCUGCAGUCGAGGAUCUUCGGCAAUGCGCGCAAGCGCGACCGAGCGACGCCGCGUGGGCGACGAAGGCCUUCGGGUUGUAAAGGCCUGUCGAGGGGGAGGAAAAGCCGAAGGUUGACCUAUCCCUGGAGGAAGCUCGGGCUAAGUUCGUGCCAGCAGCCGCGGUAAGAC